GACAGAGGAUGCAAGCGUUAUCCGGAAUGAUUGGCGUAAAGCGUCUGUAGGUGGCUUUUAAGUCCGCCGUCAAAUCCCAGGGCUCAACCCUGGACAGGCGGUGGAAACUACCAAGCUGGAGUACGGUAGGGGCAGAGGGAAUUUCCGGUGGAGCGGGUGAAAUGCGUGAGAGAGUACGGAAAAGAACACCAACGGGCGAAAGCACUCUGCUGGGCCGACACUGACACUGAGAGACGAAAGCUAGGGGAGCGAAUGGG
rnacentral:rRNA from 1 species